rnacentral:lncRNA from 1 species
AAAAUGGGGCUAGAACCUUCCUCCUGUGUUCCAAGGACUCAAUGAGGUAAUGGGGGGUAAUGUUCUUAGAAGAGGGCCUGGUGCCUAAGGACCGUAGAAGUGUGUGUGUGGUGGGUAUGUUUUUGUCCUUACACUUCUGAUUCACGGCCUUUUCCAACAGUCUCCUGACGGGUGGCGACCCUCGCCUGCCAUUUUGUUCACGGUACAUUGGAGCGGACCAAAGAAGCCCUGUUGCAGCAGGUUGCGCUGUCCGAGUCCCAACUAUGUGAGAUGCAGCUACAAAGUGGUCAGAUCACUUUUUCCCGUCGAUGAUGUGAUUCGUUUCCUGGCUUUGUCCGUUACAUCGUGGGUUCCAGAGGUCCUGUUUUCAUCCAAGGCGAUCCCAUCCACAUCUCCGAAGCUCGGGUUGCCAUGCGAACGAUUAUCCCACGAGAGAAACUCUGAAUCAAGGCUCUACACUGUAACGGCAGGCCAAGUUCCUGGAACCAGGCUCAAAUCCAUCAUGACUCUCAGGGAAUAAGGCUAAAAGGGGGAAACAGAACAUAAACUGAUGAGACAAACGCACGGAACCUGCAAGAACUGUAAAUGAGAUCCAGGUGCCAAAGAGGAAUAUGGAAUUCAGUUUGCAAUUAAAAACAUGUUGGGAAUUUACUGGGUUCUAUUUCUCUCUUGACAAAACUUUCUUUCUUUUUUUUAAAUAUUAUUUUUGGAGACAGCACGAGUGGGGGAGGGGCAGGGAGCGAGGGAGAAUCUUUUUUUUUUUUUAAUUUUUUUAACGUUUAUUUAUUAUUGAGAGACAGAGCGAGACAGAGCAUGAGCAUGGGAGGGGCAGAGAGAGGAGGAGACACAGAAUUUGAAGCAGGCUCCAGGCUCCGAGCCGUCAGCACAGAGCCCGGCGUGGGGCUCGAACCCACCAACUGCGGAGAGAGGGAGAAUCUUAAGCAGGCUCCACGCUCAGCCAAGAGCCUGAUGCGGGGCUCGAAUCCAGGAACCGUGAGAUCAUGACCUCAGCCCGAAAUCAAGAGUCUUAACCGACCUGAGCCACCCAGGCACCCCGACAGAACUUUUAAUAUGGGGAAGGUUACUCAAAGUUCUCUUAGAGAAUUCUAACAUCCACAGAAUUUGGCUCAAGGAAGAAGUUUAGGAACCCCUACAAACAUUGAUAGUACAACGCAAUUAACAAUGCAAAGGAACCUAUUAUGAUCAUACCAGGAAAAUAAGCCAUCAACAUCCUUAUGAAGAUUGAUUAUGAUGAUGAUGAUUCAUAAUUCCAGAAAAGGCUUCUAGGCAAACAUCGGCUGGUAAGUAAAGUGAAUGAUACUCAAACUUAUGUAUU